AUGAUUUCCAGAGGGCUCGUCCACCUGGAACAUAAACAAUACAUUUCUAAAAAAAACCCCCAGGAAUAUAGCCCAACCAGGAGAAGGAAACUCUGAUCCUAAACCUCUGCUGGCUUGCGGGAUUUUUUGGGGAGAAGAAGGAGUUAAGGAGUAAACCCUACACAAAUCCAGAGUGAAUUCCCUUAGACGGUUGGAUGGCGCCUUGUACGCCGCCUUCUGGCAACUCUUGCAGCCAAGCUGGUGCCCAAAAUAUUGAUUUGCUUUCCUUUGGACCCCAUCAGUGAGGCUGUGUCACGGUCCGGUUCACUGGCGAUCGAAGUCCUGGCUGGGGACGUUGGGACCGGGGGCAAGACGGUGGGGUGGGAGCAGGAACAGGAGUCCAGAAGCCAGGAGUCAGGAAGCCAAGAGUCAAGAAGCCAAGGGUCUGAGGAUCAAGAAGCAAGGAGUCACAAAGUCAGGCGUCCGAGGAUCGAGGAGUCAAAUGCAGCAAGGCAGGGAACAUGUUGCUGUGGCAAAGAGCCAAAGGGAAAAUGCAGACCUUAUAUCCCUUCCCAGCUCUUGCAACCAGGUGCAGUGAGUUACCAAGUGGCCUCACCUGUGCGGCCACACCUUGCCUCUUCAGAACAAACUUAGGAAGGCCCCAGUCCUGCAGAGUCCUAUUGGUCAGAGGGCCUGGCUCCUGCAUGCACUCCUGACAGGCUGAGAGAGAGGACUUGUCGUGUAGGCAGCCCUGGACCUCCAGACACACUGCCCAGGUUGUGCCCCGGAAAGGUCACUCUGAUGCUGUUAACACAGUGGUUUGACUUCACCCCCAGAGGCUUACUCCAUUGUCUCUUGAGACAGAUGGAUGCCAGCAACAAAGCUCUUCUAGUUUUUGCAACAAACACAGCAAAAGACUAGCAAAUUUAUUCUAUAAGCUUUGGUCCUUUAUUUCAUCAGAUACAUGAAGUGCUCUCCUGAGUUGCAGGUCUCUUCUCUCUUUGGCGAUCCCUUGUAGCUGAGUAAGAUUGUCUUCCAUGAAUACGGUUUUAACAAUGAGUCCAUAAGUGACUGUGGAGCCCAAUUCUGGAUCCACACGUCCUUCCACAGUGGGGACAUAGGUUUCUGGGUGGGAGUUGAUAAUGGUGUGGAAGUGCCAAGCGUGCCUUCCUCUUAAAAUGUUUCUCCCUUGCGUCCUGAGUUCAAGUGUCUUCAAAGUCCAUGACGCCUUUGGUAAAAGGUUGUUCUCCAACUUGGGCGCUCGCAGGCAAGUGUUUCCCAGUUGUCAGUGUUUAUACUACAUUUUAAAAGAUUUGCCUUGAGACAGCCUUUAAGCCUCUUUUGUUGACCACCAGCAUUACGCUUUCCAUUUUUAAGUUCGGAAUAGAGUAGUUGCUUUGGAAGACAAUCAUCAGGCAUCCACACAACAUGACCAGUCCAACAAAGUUGAUGCUGAAGAAUCAUUGCUUCAACACUGGUGAUCUUUGCUUCUUCCAGUACACUGGCGUUAGUUCGCCUAUCUUCCCAAGUGAUGUGUAGAAUUUUUCUGAGACAUCGUUGAUGGAAUCUUUCGAGGAGUUGCAGAUGGCGUUUAUAAGUGGUCCAUGUUUCAGAAGCAAGGUAUAGUAAGGUUGGUAGUACAAUAGCUUUGUAAACAAGCAUUUUGGUUUCCCUGUGAAUGUCCUGGUCCUCAAACACUCUGCACUUCAAUCGGGAGAAAGCCGCACGUGCAGAGCUCGGACAAUGCUGGAUUUCGGCAUCAGUGUUGGCCCUUGUGGAAAGAUAACUGCCCAGGUAGGAGAAGUGAUCGACAUUUUCCAACAUUACACCACUGAGUUGUAGACAUAUACUCAUGCUUGUGGGUGAGGAGAGGUCAGAAGGAAACAGCAUGCAGAAAAUUAUGGGCUGGGAUAAUUAUUUUAUUAACAGCGGCUAUUCACAUUUAAAAACCCCGUUGUUGGUGUUUUGGCAAGCCAAUUAACACACAUAGGGUGGAUCUACACACAGAAAAAAAUCCACUGUAAGUCAGAAAUUAAAUCAUAACAAAAGAAAAAAAAUGCUAUGGAAAAUCGCAUAGAUUUUUUUUUUUACUCUCCGUCGCCAUCUGGUGCUGCAUGUUUAUAAUACAUUCAAAACACUGUUUUUUGACUAAUGGCAGCUGAGUCCAUAGUGCAAUGAAAAUACACAGUCCUGAUUCACUCCACAAGUGACAGCCUGAGCCUCUUGAUGACUUGUCAUUUGGCAGUUUGAUGUUAGCAUGCCUUUGAAGUUCCUUUGUUCCAGAGAAACAAACAAAAUGCAGUGAAUGUGUUUCCGCAGACCCCCCUCCAAAUCACUCAGAUUAUGUGCUUCUGUCAGGCCAGUGCGUUUUGAUGUUGAAAUUGUAUUGUUACCACAACAGGUUUGCCUUGAUGACCACAUUAUCACCUGUGCAGGUCUCACCUGUCGGUGGACUUCCUGACCUGCCAUAGAAAUGGCCCCUUUGUGGGCUUGUCCGACCUAGGAGAUAACCUCUCAGUAAAAAUAGAUUUAAAACAUUAAUGACAUAAACAAAAGCUCCCUUUGCAACGGAGCUGGGAACCUAAUGACCACAAUUAGACGAGAAUGCUAAUCAUUAUGCAUGCAAAUAUCAUUAAUUAGGUUCAUUACAGUGUGGUUGCAGUCAACGGCAUGCACUUACCAUUUUUAGAAAUGGAAGCCUUAUCAGCCUGAGACUUCAAAGGCUUUCACAGUAGGGCUUAAUAUGUAAAUUGUCCAGGUGGCUAAAUAGCUCGAAAUUAAAGGAAAUAUCACCUAAUCAGGAUAUACAACAUAGAUUUUGCCUUAUUGAGCCCACUGGGAUACAGCUGGAUUUUAACAGUCUUGGCUCGUUUCAGAAAUCAGACACCUAACGGCUCCUGCUUCUGAUCAUUCAUAUAUAACCACACUUACAAAUUCCCAUUCCUUUAUUUAGUUUUUUAUGGCCAUUUAUAAGCAGGGCAUGUAUACCUGGAGUUGCACCCAAGAGGGUAAACCAGAUUCAGUUCCCGAAACACUGAAUUUGGGGGAGGAUGCUCAAAAAGACCACCUUCAUGACGUUGCUGGGGGGUAAGCAGCCUCAUACAACUAAUAUGCGUAAGUCUAAAUAACACAUGAAGGGGUUAAUGGCAUAGAGUAAGCUGUCCUGCCGGGCUUCGGUCACUUCUCCUCACCUUGGGAGGACUGCAAUCGCCUAUUGUUGGACCGUAGUCUACCUAAUGAACCAACAGGAACGGUGGUUGGAGCUAUCACAUUGGCUUGGAUGGGAAUUGAAGAGGAGAAAGCUAUCUCUGGUUGCUGGGCUUUGGAGCGUGGUGCAGAGGUGUCCAUUGUGAGGGACAAAGAGAUCCCUGCUGGCCAUGUUGACUUAAUAUCCCCGUGCCUCGGUAUCCCAGUGUUGGGCAAAUAGAAGGCCUUUGGUGGAAAGAGGGACAACAAGAUAGAUUUCUCUUUUGCUCUCUGCUGGGCUUGUGUUUCAGUAAGCAAACACACACUCUGGCGCAAGAUAAGUGGCCCGAGAUGGGCUGGAUCUCUUCUAAAGAGCAUCCCAGCAAGCAGGGCCAAUUAUGUGUGUUUCCUAUUUUCAAAUCCCUUUUGAACAGCACCCACAAACACAAACUCUGACCGCCGCACCGCUGUCUGCAAGAGACCCUCGUUCAAUGGCAAGAAGCGUUUCCAAACUCAUUAGGCAAGGAAAGAUUAUCCUAAUGGGUGCAGCCGGACUGAGGGAUUCUUAAGCAAAGCUAUCGCUUUAAUGCAAAGCAAACACCUUAUUUUGGUGCAAAUGGGGGCUUGCUGACCCCGAUAUCAAAUCACAGGCCGUUCUCCUGAUUAGCCAAGGAGUUGCAGCUUCAAAGUGCAAGCUUAGCUUUCUGCUGGAAAUAGUGUGAGGAGACAAACCCCCAAAUUCCUCUUCAGGGGUGUGCGGUGAAAUUUUCCGUGGGGAACGCUUAGGGCCAGAGGUGCCAGCUUGUGAGGGUGAUGGGGGGGGGGGCAAUGUCACAAUGUCCUAACAUCAUGCGCAUGAGCAUCGCACCUCCCUAAGUCGGCAGCAGCUUCCUGGCCUUUAGGGAUGCCAGGCCUUUGACAAGAUACUGGAGUUCUGCUGCCUGCUUCCCAAACCAAGGUGGGCUUUGGGGAGGUGGUGUAAAGGCUCUUGGGCCCCCUCCCUAAGAUGGGCAAAAGCUUCCUGGGAUUUGAGAAGAAGGAGCCAGGCUUUAAUAUUUUAAUUUACCAGGAAUAUUUAGGGGACCAACGUAGUCACCCUAGUCCACUGACCACAUAUCUCCACCCCCAUUGUUCAGCCCGGACACUGAGGUCCAGCUCCGAGGGCCUUCUGGGGGUUCCCUCGCUGUGAGAAGUGAGGUUACAGGGAACUAGGCAGAGGGCCUUCUCGGUGGUGGCGCCUGCCCUGUGGAACGCCCUCCCUUCAGAUGUCAAGGCAAUAAACAACUAUUUUGCUUUUAAAAGACAACUGAAAGCGGUCCUGUUUAGGUUUUUAAUGUCUGAUGCUGUAUUGUUUUUAAUAUUCGGUUGGAAGCCGCCCAGAGUGGCUGGGGAACCGCAGCCAGAUGGGCGGGGUAUAAAUAAAUUAUUAUUAUUAGUAGUAGUAGUAGUAUUAGUAGUAGUAUUAUUAUGCCAUUGUUCCUGUUGAAUGACUGCCAUUCCAAAAUCUGCGCUGUUCCCAUGGACCAGCCUCCCGCUGCCUGUUUGCCUUGACUGAAGUUUUCAUUGUUGACACACUUGUUUUGAGUUGCAGUCAUAACGACGUCUUUGCAUUAUUUUAUCAGGCUCCUGCAAUCUCACCAAACCACGAUCUCUCUUAAUCAUCUAGGUACCAUCAAGAGGAAACUUCGCGUGAGCAAAUGACAAGAAGGCUUCUGGAGCUUUAAGGCUACGGAAUUGCAGUGAGACUUAACGUAAAAUAUGCACAUGCAAGAACCCGCAAUGCACUGUGAAUGAGUAUAGGGGCAGCUUUAAGAAAAACCCUUAAAAAACACACACAACAGAGUACUGUAUAGAUUUUGUGCCUUUAUCUUUAAAUAGCUCCUGUUACGCCUGUGCUGUAAUUGUAAAUUCUGCUGUCUGAAAAUAUUCCUCUCACAGUUUGUGGCAGCUUUGACUGCUUGGAUUCUUGUAACUUAAAAAAAAAAUAUGCAUCAAGAAUAUAUUAUCACAGUAAGCC